rnacentral:rRNA from 1 species
UACGUAGGGGGCAAGCGUUGUCCGGAAUCAUUGGGCGUAAAGCGCGCGUAGGCGGCCCUGUAAGUCCGUUGUGAAAGUCAAAGGCUCAACCUUUGAAAGCCGAUGGAUACUGCAGGGCUAGAGUCCGGAAGAGGCGAGUGGAAUUCCUGGUGUAGCGGUGGAGUGCGCAGAUAUCAGGAGGAACACCAAUAGCGAAGGCAGCUCGCUGGGACGGUACUGACGCUAAGGCGCGAAAGCGUGGGGAGCGAACAGG